CAGACAGCCAGCACAGGACGUGGAUCUCGGGGACGAGAACGGAUUAUUCAAAGACAGCGAGGCAUGACCACGUGUGGUGUUUGGAAGGCUUCAAGAAGGUAGACGCGGCUGAAGUACAGUGAGGAGAGAGAGAGACUCAACCUGGGAGCAGAUUAGGAAGGCCCUGGCCAGCUGCGGUAAGAAAUUUGGGCUUUUCCUGGAUUGGAAGGACGAGGCAGUUGAGAGGAAGCUGGAUUUCGGAAGAAGAGUCGGCAAAUAUACUUAAUGAACACUCUAAAAUACAUUAUUGAAACUUACCUGGCCUGGACAGAUCCUGACUCCUGUUGCCAUCAGGAAUCUGGUGAUCCCGGUGAGUAAAAUAAAGUAAGC